rnacentral:misc_RNA from 1 species
AUAUAAUACUUAUAUGCUUUGAUGACAUUCAAAGUGUGUUUGUGACAGCUCAGAAGUGUUCUCAGUUCAGUAAAACCAGAGGCUGAAUCAGGUACUGUGAUCAGCCCAGGUAACUAAUACAGGGGAUGUACUGGCACUGAGUAUCAUUUAGGAGUACUACUAUUUCUCUGUUUUUGUAGAUAAAUUUUUGCUCCAGUGAUAUUUGACUUCCACGCAAUAUGGGAAUGUACAGUUGUUAAUGAGCUGUGGGAAAAAAUUGAUUGCAUAAAUUUCGGAUAAAAAUUUAAAUGCAUACAAUUCUAGCAACUAAAAUUUGACAAAAAAUCACCUCUUGGCAACUCUAUAAAAAGAACAAGUCAUUUUAAGCCCUAUGUGAGUUAUCUCCCUUAUUCUAGUGUCAUUGAUCCUCAAUUUUGAAUGUUUUCGUUGUACAAAUAUUUCCUACUUCAGCAUACUCCAAAUGGAUUUUAAGAAUUCAACACUGUAUGCCAAUUUGUAUACAACUUUAAUGUGCUGUAUAUAUCAUUUCAAUGUGGUUAAUCUUGUGGCAAGACCAAAUAAACAUUCCAUGACACUGCAAUAAAGUUGCAUUUAUAGAAUCAUUUAUACACAUAUCAAGCAUUUAUCUUUUCAGACAAGUACUCUACAUAGCAAUUGUUGGUGGGGUACUACCAUAGUAUGUAUUGUAUAUUACUAAUUUGCUUCUGGCUUCAGUGCAUGUAAUCAAUGUUCUAAUUUUCUAAUGGGGGCAGGGGAGAGUGUAAAAUUUAUGCCAUAUACUAGUAACAUUCUGAAAUAACUUGAAUACCGGUAUGUUGAAUGAAUCCAUGAUUAACAUUUUUUUUAAACAUCAUAAACAACCUCAACAGCAGAAUUAACAUUCCAUAGUUUUUCAUGAUCAUUGUUGUUGUAUUUUAUGCUAAAAACAAUUAAAUUUACUUGCCAGUAGUGUCAAGAUAUUAAGUACUCUUUGAAUUUAGUCAAGUUUAUUUUCAUUAUAUUAUCCCAUGUCAAUCUAACGUUAUUUUAGAAAUUGGAUCCCUUUAAUUUCAUCCAGAUUUAAAGUGUACCUAUAUCACUGAAGCCCCACCCUAUUUUGAACGUGAGUGAACCUCGGUACCUAAUCAAUCCAGUUGUGUGACGUGGUUGAUGAAUCCUUAAUAAACCCUUCCAUAUAGUCAUGCAAUAAAUUGUUUUGGGAGGUAAUAUUUGUAUUGUUUUACAAAAACAAUAAAAGAAGAAUCCAUUGAUGUUGUUUACUGGUAGUUGGUUUCACUAACAUUGUUCAAGCACAAGAAAAAUAAUGCAAUUUUCUAACCUAACAAUUGCCUUGUCAUUAUAGAACAUUGGAGUUUGAUUUUGCAGAUGCAACUUUAGACUUUAUCGGGAAUAUCUCACUAUUCUUGGGCCUUUUUCUUUUUAUACCAAACCUUGGCACAAUUCUUAUGGUUAUUUUGUGAAGCAAGCAGUUCAGUGUGCAUUCCAUUUAUGUAUCAUUUACAUGUAUAAUGAUAUGAAAAAGUUGAAUGAAUUAAUUGUGAAUACAAAGCAAGUUCAAUUGUACUAAAGGAACAUUGUAUACCAUAAUUCAUCAAAUUACUUACACUUGUUGAAAAGCUGUGUACAAGAAAAAUUAUAAUUAAUUUAUAGGAAAUACUGAAACUGAUUUUGUUUUUUUCUGAAUAUGUAAUUUAAAUACAUGUAUUAAAAUAAAUUGAUAAUUUUUAAUAAAUGUUAUUUAUAUUAAAGUUUGAACUUCGCUUUUAAUUUUUGAAAAUAAAAAACAAAUUAUCUGGAAUUGAAUUUUUAAUUUCUCUUCUUUAAUAUGCCAAUACAUGCAACCAGUAAUAUAUAUUGUUUUGAUACAAAUAUAGAAACAUAACAAUUAUCAGUACAAACCCAUUAUAAGCUACCUCAAAUUAUCAUUUUUGAAAAAAUAGAUGUGUGAAUGGGGGUGUGAUUUGUACUUUGGAAGAACUUCAUCCAUUUGUAGUGCUGCAACAAAUACAUGUACAUAGAGUUUUCUUCUUCUGAGUAUGAGAGUUUUUCAUUUUCAUUGCUAAUAAAGAUGUGUGUGAUUUUUCUCAUGCAAUGUAUAUUGUAUAAUUCAUUUUGAAUAAAAUGCAUUUUGAUCUAC